rnacentral:rRNA from 1 species
UGAGGAAUUUUGCGCAAUGGGAGCAAUCCUGACGCAGCAACGCCGCGUGGGUGAUGAAGGCCUUCGGGUCGUAAAGCCCUGUCAGGUGGGAAGAAUGUCCCGGGACUGAACAGAUUUCGGGAGUGACGGUACCACCAGAGAAAGCACCGGCUAACUCCGUGCCAGCAGCCGCGGUAAUACGGAGGGUGCAAGCGUUAUUCGGAAUUACUGGGCGUAAAGCGCGUGUAGGCGGCCCUGCAAGUCUGAUGUGAAAGCCCCGGGCUUAACCCGGGAAGUGCAUUGGGAACUGCAGGUCUUGAGUUCUGGAGAGGAUGGGGGAAUUCCCGGUGUAGAGGUGAAAUUCGUAGAGAUCGGGAGGAAUAUCAGUGGCGAAGGCGCCCAUCUGGACGGUAACUGACGCUGAGACGCGAAAGCGUGGGGAGCAAACA